rnacentral:lncRNA from 1 species
CACUAUCAGAGUGCGAGCCGGUAAGCUUAUGGGGUUCAUUGUGGGGAAGGAAUAGGGGUUGAUCCUGCAAAAAAAAAAAAAAAAACAAUAAUAGAAAUGCUUGAACCGUGAAUGGAAAGAGAGGUUCGUGGUCUCCUGGGUAGAUUGAACUACCUGUCAUGGUUCACAUCUCACCUAACAGCCACGUGGGAACCCAUUCAAGAAAAAAAAUCAAACGGUCAGGUGAAAUAUUGAUUGCCAAGGGGCAUUGAAAAA